CUUGAGAUUUGACUUCUUUUUGAUUUUUAAUAGUUUUAAUAAAUGCAAAUGUUUUCUCAUCAUUAUUUUAAUUUACUUAGCUAUUCUACUCUUCAUAUGUGAAGGAGUUUGGGUAUAAAAAGAACAAAAGGCAACAUUUGAAGACAUCUCAGAAACCAUUCAAAAGGAAAAACCUUGAUGAUUAGUCAGUAAUUUUGGAGGGAAAAAGUGAAAGGAAUGUUGAUGGACACCACUCUCCUCCCCUGGUGACAACUCUUGAUGCAUCCCUACUGUGACAAGCCAGGAAAUAAUUCCAUGGGAAGUCAAUCAAUGAAAGUUAACAAG
ensembl:lincRNA